GCCCCCAGCAGGAAGUGGCUGGCUCAGGAGGUGGUGUCUCAGAUUCCAAGGCAGAAGUCACUGAGAAGUUGUUCAGUGACCAGGGUCAAGGGUUGGCCGUUUCUAAGGCUGAGUGUGGCAGAGGGCACCAGGAGCUUGUCCUGCUGGUGGAGCUGGGGAACCCCAGGACCCGUGGGCCUCAAACCUGGGCCAGGAGUGAGGAGCUGGCCUCCCCUAGGCUGAACUUGACUCACAGACCGGUUUGGUGUGGGCCAUCCAGUUGAAAGGAGUUGUCAAUGUUUCAUAUUUGCUAGGCUUCACAGAAAAUUUAAACUUGGAAUAUUUUUCUGAAAAUGUGGAUGACCAGGACCAAGUUAUUCU
rnacentral:lncRNA from 1 species